ACGGGAGGCAGCAGUGGGGAAUAUUGCACAAUGGGGGAAACCCUGAUGCAGCAACGCCACGUGUGGGAAGAAGCAUUUCGGUGUGUAAACCACUGUCGUGAGGGAAUAAUGCUUGGUCUCGGCCAAGUUGAAUGUACCUCGAAAGGAAGCAUCGGCUAACUCCGUGCCAGCAGCCGCGGUAAUACGGAGGAUGCGAGCGUUAUCCGGAUUUAUUGGGUUUAAAGGGUGCGCAGGCGGCACGUUAAGUCAGCGGUGAAAUGUCGGGGCUCAACCCGGGCACUGCCGUUGAAACUGGCGAGCUUGAGUACGGAUGAAGUCGGCGGAAUGUGAUGUGUAGCGGUGAAAUGCUUAGAUAUGUCACAGAACACCGAUUGCGAAGGCAGCUGACUAAUCCGCAACUGACGCUCAGGCACGAAAGCGUGGGGAUCGAACAGGAUUAGAUACCCUGGUA
rnacentral:rRNA from 1 species